AGUGAACGCUGGCGGUAGGCCUAACACAUGCAAGUCGAACGGCAGCACAGUAAGAGCUUGCUCUUACGGGUGGCGAGUGGCGGACGGGUGAGGAAUACAUCGGAAUCUACUUUUUCGUGGGGGAUAACGUAGGGAAACUUACGCUAAUACCGCAUACGACCUACGGGUGAAAGCAGGGGAUCUUCGGACCUUGCGCGAUCGAAUGAGCCGAUGUCGGAUUAGCUAGUUGGCGGGGUAAAGGCCCACCAAGGCGACGAUCCGUAGCUGGUCUGAGAGGAUGAUCAGCCACACUGGAACUGGGACACGGUCCAGACUCCUACGGGAGGCGGCAGUGGGGAAUAUGGGCCAAUGGGCGGAAGCCUGAUGCAGCCAUACCGCGUCGGUGAAGAAGGCCUUCGGGUUGUAAAGCCCUUUUGUUGGGAAAGAAAAGCAGCAGGUUAAUACCCCGCUGUUCUGACGGUACCCAAAGAAUAAGCACCGGCUAACUUCGUG
rnacentral:rRNA from 1 species